UCUAAUAUGGCAGAUUAGUGCAAUGGAUUUAAGCUCCAUAUAUAAAGGCAACCCUUUUAUUAGAA
rnacentral:tRNA from 1 species